UAGAAGAGUUCUCUUUCGAAAAGUGC
rnacentral:piRNA from 1 species